rnacentral:rRNA from 1 species
UACGGAAGGGGCAAGCGUUGUUCGGAAUCAUUGGGCGUAAAGGGCGCGUAGGUGGUUCUGUAUGUCUACCGUGAAAGCAUACAGCUCAACUGUAUUUUGUCGGUAGAAACUGCAGGACUUGAGGCUGGGAGGGGCUGGUGGAAUUCCCUGUGUAGCGGUGAAAUGCGUAGAGAUGGGGGAGAACACUCGUGGCGAAGGCGGCCAGCUAGACCAGUUCUGACACUGAGGCGCGACAGCGUGGGGAGUAAACAGG